CGUGAAGAGGGAAACAACCCAGACCGCCAGCUAAGGUCCCAAAGUCAUGGUUAAGUGGGAAACGAUGUGGGAAGGCCCAGACAGCCAGGAUGUUGGCUUAGAAGCAGCCAUCAUUUAAAGAAAGCGUAAUAGCUCACUGGUCGAGUCGGCCUGCGCGGAAGAUGUAACGGGGCUAAACCAUGCACCGAAGCUGCGGCAGCGACGCUGAUGCGUUGUUGGGUAGGGGAGCGUUCUGUAAGCCUGUGAAGGUGUGCUGUGAGGCAUGCUGGAGGUAUCAGAAGUGCGAAUGCUGACAUAAGUAACGAUAAAGCGGGUGAAAAGCCCGCUCGCCGGAAGACCAAGGGUUCCUGUCCAACGUUAAUCGGGGCAGGGUGAGUCGACCCCUAAGGCGAGGCCGAAAGGCGUAGUCGAUGGGAAACAGGUUAAUAUUCCUGUACUUGGUGUUACUGCGAAGGGGGGACGGAGAAGGCUAUGUUGGCCGGGCGACGGUUGUCCCGGUUUAAGCGUGUAGGCUGGUUUUCCAGGCAAAUCCGGAAAACUAAGGCUGAGGCGUGAUGACGAGGCACUACGGUGCUGAAGCAACAAAUGCCCUGCUUCCAGGAAAAGCCUCUAAGCAUCAGGUAACAUCAAAUCGUACCCCAAACCGACACAGGUGGUCAGGUAGAGAAUACCAAGGCGCUUGAGAGAACUCGGGUGAAGGAACUAGGCAAAAUGGUGCCGUAACUUCGGGAGAAGGCACGCUGAUAUGUAGGUGAAGUCCCUCGCGGAUGGAGCUGAAAUCAGUCGAAGAUACCAGCUGGCUGCAACUGUUUAUUAAAAACACAGCACUGUGCAAACACGAAAGUGGACGUAUACGGUGUGACGCCUGCCCGGUGCCGGAAGGUUAAUUGAUGGGGUCAGCGCAAGCGAAGCUCUUGAUCGAAGCCCCGGUAAACGGCGGCCGUAACUAUAACGGUCCUAAGGUAGCGAAAUUCCUUGUCGGGUAAGUUCCGACCUGCACGAAUGGCGUAAUGAUGGCCAGGCUGUCUCCACCCGAGACUCAGUGAAAUUGAACUCGCUGUGAAGAUGCAGUGUACCCGCGGCAAGACGGAAAGACCCCGUGAACCUUUACUAUAGCUUGACACUGAACAUUGAGCCUUGAUGUGUAGGAUAGGUGGGAGGCUUUGAAGUGUGGACGCCAGUCUGCAUGGAGCCGACCUUGAAAUACCACCCUUUAAUGUUUGAUGUUCUAACGUUGACCCGUAAUCCGGGUUGCGGACAGUGUCUGGUGGGUAGUUUGACUGGGGCGGUCUCCUCCUAAAGAGUAACGGAGGAGCACGAAGGUUGGCUAAUCCUGGUCGGACAUCAGGAGGUUAGUGCAAUGGCAUAAGCCAGCUUGACUGCGAGCGUGACGGCGCGAGCAGGUGCGAAAGCAGGUCAUAGUGAUCCGGUGGUUCUGAAUGGAAGGGCCAUCGCUCAACGGAUAAAAGGUACUCCGGGGAUAACAGGCUGAUACCGCCCAAGAGUUCAUAUCGACGGCGGUGUUUGGCACCUCGAUGUCGGCUCAUCACAUCCUGGGGCUGAAGUAGGUCCCAAGGGUAUGGCUGUUCGCCAUUUAAAGUGGUACGCGAGCUGGGUUUAGAACGUCGUGAGACAGUUCGGUCCCUAUCUGCCGUGGGCGCUGGAGAACUGAGGGGGGCUGCUCCUAGUACGAGAGGACCGGAGUGGACGCAUCACUGGUGUUCGGGUUGUCAUGCCAAUGGCACUGCCCGGUAGCUAAAUGCGGAAGAGAUAAGUGCUGAAAGCAUCUAAGCACGAAACUUGCCCCGAGAUGAGUUCUCCCUGACUCCUUGAGAGUCCUGAAGGAACGUUGAAG
rnacentral:rRNA from 1 species